rnacentral:rRNA from 1 species
UAAACGACUCUCGGCAACGGAUAUCUCGGCUCUCGCAUCGAUGAAGAACGUAGCGAAAUACGAUACUUGGUGUGAAUUGCAGAAUCCCGUGAACCAUCGAGUCUUUGAACGCAAGUUGCGCCCGAAGCCAUUAGGCCGAGGGCACGCCUGCCUGGGCGUCACAC